UGUCAGUCCCCCGCGUCGGGCGGCCGCAAACCCCGCCAGGCCCGGAAGGGAGCAACGGUAGCGGUUCAACCGAGCGCCGGGGUACAGCUGGCAGGG
rnacentral:SRP_RNA from 1 species